GCAGAAAUUAGCACAACACUGUAAAUCAACUAUACUUCAAUCAAAAAAUUAAAAUAAAAAAGAAUACCAGCACUCCGUGUCGAGUCCAGACGUACCUGAGCUCUUCUGUUACAUAAGCCAAUAAACUCUUAUUUUGCUCCAAAGUUGGAAUUGAAUUCUUUCACUUACAGCUGAAGUCCUGAGCUCUAGACAAAGCUUCAGCGUGGUUUCUGUGCAGUCCUUUCUCCCCCUUGAUUGUCUGAUCCUUUCCCAGGAGGAAGGAGCACUGGAUUUGGAGUCAGAAAACCUGACAUGAAGUCUGGUUCUGCCAUUUCCAAACAACUGGACCUUGAGGCAUGUCUCGAGCACAAUUAAGAAUCUGAGCUACACGAUCAGGGGGCAUUGUACCUUCGGGAGGCCAGCUGCUAUGUUGAGAGCAACACUAGAGGAGGCCCACAUAAUGAGGAACUGAAGCUUCCUGCGAAAAGCAAUGUUAAUGGGCUGGGAAGUGGAUCCUCUAGCCCCACUCAAGCCUUCAGAUGACUGCAGCUUCCACCAACAGUCUGAAUGUAACUUCAUGAGAGUCCCAGGACUACCCAGCUAAUAAGCUGCUCCCAAAUUCCCGACUCUCAGAAGCUGCGUGAUAUAAUAAACAUCUCUUGUUUUAAGCUACUCAUUUUGGGGGUAAUUUGUCACACAUCAAUAGAUAACUGAUACAGUAGGGAUAGUAAAGUUGUUUUAAAAUAAAGUUAUAAAGAAGAGUGAUCCAAGAUUAGGUAGUAAAUAGAACAGUGAUGCUUGGACAUGAUCAAGAUAAUGAAAGUGGUAUAGGAAUGGGCAACACAGCAAAGGGGAUGUCCUACGGUUUUCUGUAGUUUGUAUACCCUAUUGGAAGUAUCCAAGUUUCAAAUGUGAACUGUGACUGUCAGCUUGAGCAUCUUUCUUUACUGCUCUCAAAAACAGUGUGGUAUAGUGCAAAGUGCACUUGGCCAAGGGCCAGGAAGCCCUUGGUCUGAUUUGCAGCUCUACUGCCUAGCUGUGUGAUCUUAGUAAUGUUUAUUAACCUUUCUGAACCCCCUGUUUCUCCAUCUGUAAAGCUGGAAAAUUAGCACCUACCUUGCUGUGCUUCUGCAAGGGUUAAAGGCAGUUGUGUAGAAGGUUCUUAAAAUAGUGCCUAGCACAUUGUAAGCACUCAAUAAACACUAGCUAGUAAAUAAUUCCCUUGUUAUUGCUUUCAUCUCAGUAUUUAACUAGAUUAUAAACUGCCAGGAGAUGUGAUUUUUAUCCUUUCAGGAAGUCAGUAUAGCAUUGAGAUUAAGAGCCUGUUUGGAGACAGCUAUGUUUGAAUCCUAGCUCUGUCAAACUGUGUGAGCUUCAGUUUCCUAGUCUAUCAAAUAUGGAUCAUAAUAGCAUCUAAGCUCCCACAGAGCUGUUAAUUAAGUGGUAUGACAUAUAAA